UACGUAGGUCCCGAGCGUUAUCCGGAUUUAUUGGGCGUAAAGCGAGCGCAGGCGGUUAGAUAAGUCUGAAGUGAAAGGCUGUGGCUUAACCAUAGUAUGGUUUGGAAACUGUUUAACUUGAGUUCAGAAGGGGAGAGUGGAAUUCCAUGUGUAGCGGUGAAAUGCGUAGAUAUAUGGAGGAACACCGGUGGCGAAAGCGGCUCCCUGGACGGUAACUGACGCUGAGGCUCGAAAGCGUGGGGAGCAAACAGG
rnacentral:rRNA from 1 species